CAGUCGCCGCGGUAAAACCAGCAGCCCAAGUGGUGGUCACGAUUAUUGGGCCUAAAGCGCUCGUAGCCGGGCCGGUAAGUCCCUUGUGAAAUCGGACGGCCUAACCGUUCGGCGUGCAAGGGAUACUGUCGGUCUUGAGGCCGGGAGACGUCCGAGGUACUCCGGGGGUAGCGGUGAAAUGUUCUGAUCCUCGGGGGACCACCGGUGGCGAAGGCGUUCGACGAGAACGGGCCUGACGGUGAGGGGCGAAGGCUAGGGGAGCAAAAGGGAUUAGAUACCCCCGUAGUCCCUGUCUCUUAUU
rnacentral:rRNA from 1 species